GGGUGCGAUCAUACCAGCGUUAAUGCAUCGGAUCCCAUUAGAACUCCGCAUUUAAGCAUGCUUGGGCUAGAGUUGUACUGGGAUGGGUGACCUCCCUAGAAGUCCUAGUGUUGCACCCU
rfam:Picea glauca, whole genome shotgun sequence.